rnacentral:rRNA from 1 species
UACGCAGGGGGCUAGCGUUGUUCGGAAUUACUGGGCGUAAAGGGCGCGUAGGCGGUACUUCAAGUCAGGCGUGAAAGCCCCGGGCUCAACCUGGGAACCGCGCUUGAGACUGGAGAACUAGAGUUCGGGAGAGGAUGGUGGAAUUCCCAGUGUAGAGGUGAAAUUCGUAGAUAUUGGGAAGAACACCGAUGGCGAAGGCAGCCAUCUGGACCGACACUGACGCUGAGGCGCGAAAGCGUGGGGAGCAAACAGG